GAACAAGUUCCAUUUAUUUUCGUAUACAGGUGUUUUGUACAGUCCACAUACACAUACACACCUUGUAUGUCAGAAUUGUCAUGAAACGACGAUAUGACACACAUUUAUAAUUUUUUCUAUCUGAAGUUUUUGUGAACUAUAUAAGUGUGGUAUUUUGAAUUUAACUGUUCAAUCAACCGAAAAAAACCAAGUCUUUCUUAUGAAUUUGUCAUAAUUCGAAUGAAAUGGUGAUACUGUACAAAUUUUGAUAGAGUUCGCCCUUCAAAAUUGUGACAUGUAUAAAGUGCACGGUCAAUAUAAUUUUCAUACGCAUAAUUAGUAAUUUAUAAACAAACCGAGAGUACAAACAAUCUUGAAUCAUCCGGGAUUUUCGGGAUAGCAGAUUUGUUUUUAAUUGCAAAAAUAAUUAUUAUAUAUUAUUAUAUUACAUACUGAACAUUUUCGGAUACAUGAAUGAUUGCAUUCAUUCCUAGCUUGUGGGCAGCAGUAUCACACGCGUGCUUUAGUGAAUGUGCGUUAAAACUUCAUAUUACAAUUUGUAGAGUUUCAAUUUUGCAAGUUUUCAUAGUCAAAAUGUUAGAAUGUUUUGAUUUUCUUUUUUCAAUGUUCUCUGGAAUGUUUGGAGGCGCUCCCGAGUAUGGAUAUGGAUAUGGAAAUCAAUAUGGCGGCGGGGGAUUUAACGGAAGGCCACCAAUCUAUGGAGGACCAUGGGGUCUUGGCUACGGGAGACCUGGCUAUGGUGGCUUCGGAUCAUAUGGUUUCGGUGGUGCUUAUUACGGAUACAACUAUGGGAUCGGACAAUAUGGAGCUCAAGUAUAUGGUCGCUGAAUGAUUCAACUUUUUUUUUCACUUAAAAAUAUGAAUUCCACACUAGGGGCGAGACACAAAUUCUAUUAGAGUCUAGUUACACUCAAUUUUAUAUAUUUUUUGCUUCAUGUCCUCUAAUUUUUCUAGUUUUGGUGCAAAAGUGCUAAUAUUGUGCUAUUAUUUCUAGUAAAAUCGCUUGCAGAGCAUAUUACACUGUCAAUACAACGCUUAUGGAAGACCUAACGGGACUAUUUUGU